GACGAACGCUGGCGGCGUGCUUAACACAUGCAAGUCGAACGGAAAGGCCCUGCUUGCAGGGUACUCGAGUGGCGAACGGGUGAGUAACACGUGGGUGAUCUGCCCUGCACUUCGGGAUAAGCCUGGGAAACUGGGUCUAAUACCGGAUAGGAGCCAUUUUUAGUGUGAUGGUUGGAAAGUUUUUUCGGUGUAGGAUGGGCUCGCGGCCUAUCAGCUUGUUGGUGGGGUAAUGGCCUACCAAGGCGGCGACGGGUAGCCGGCCUGAGAGGGUGGACGGCCACAUUGGGACUGAGAUACGGCCCAGACUCCGACGGGAGGCAGCAGUGGGGAAUAUUGCACAAUGGGCGCAAGCCUGAUGCAGCGACGCCGCGUGGGGGAUGACGGCCUUCGGGUUGUAAACUCCUUUCGCUAGGGACGAAGCUUUUUGUGACGGUACCUAGAGAAGAAGCACCGGCUAACUACGUG
rnacentral:rRNA from 1 species